rnacentral:ncRNA from 1 species
CUAACAUCCACGCGAGUGUUCGGGUGUCAAACCCGUGCGCGCAGUGAAAGCGAACGGAGGUGGGAGCCCGCAAGGGUGCACCAUCGACCGAUCCUGAAGUCUUCGGAUGGAUUUGAGUAAGAGCGUGGCUGUUGGGACCCGAAAGAUGGUGAACUAUGCCUGAAUAGGGUGAAGCCAGAGGAAACUCUGGUGGAGGCUCGCAGCGGUUCUGACGUGCAAAUCGAUCGUCAAAUUUGGGUAUAGGGGCGAAAGACUAAUCGAACCAUCUGGUAGCUGG